GACCUAACUUUGCCAAAGCACGCUCCACCUCUUCACUCACCUGUUCACAUCAGCACUACUGAAUCAAGAACCAAAUGCGGAAACUUACAGGAAGAAACAUAAAUCAAAACGGAGGUGACCUUUUGAGGAAUGACCAAAAAAGAGGGAUUUCAAAGUGUUAUGUUUCUGAAGAAAAAAAUACCAUAAAGUAGGGGAGAGAUCACAAUUAUACAGUAGCACUAAACAGGGUUGUUUGAAGGGUAAAAAAGAAUUAUUGAAGCCUAUAUUACAGUAGCACUGCUAGCACCCAAAAAGUUUUACAAAAACAAGCUGGGAAAGAGGAAGAGCAACAAAAAUUCUCUGGUUUUCGAGUUACAAUAGAAAGGGAAUGUAAUUACAAUAAUCAGGCUUACUUGUUU